rnacentral:lncRNA from 1 species
UUCUAUUUUAAUUUCAAAAUUAAUUUUAUAAAAAAUUUCUUUAUUUUAUCAAUUUUUUGGAAUUUUAAAGAUCUUUUUAAGUUUUUAGAAAAUUUUGGAAGAGUUUUUAUUUUUUAAAAAGAAAAAUAAAAUUUUAUUUUAAUUUUAAUUUCUAAAUUAAUUUUAUAAAAAUCUUCUUUAUUUUUUAUUUUUUUGGAAUUUUAAAGAUCUUAUUAAGUUUUUAGAGAAUUUUUUAUAUUCAAUAUGUACCAAAUAAAAGUUAACAUGUUAGUAAAUACAUUGAAA